CUGAAACAGAAGAGGACGCUAUAAAUUUGGAUGAAGCUCAAAGUGGACCUGAAGAAAUAAUAACAGAAAGACAGAAUAGAAGAUGCCCUGAUAUAAAGUUGAGCAAUACACAUGAAGAUGACACAGGAUCGAGUGAUGGACACAGCAUUGUACAUAAAUUUCCAAGGGAG